rnacentral:rRNA from 1 species
UGGGGAAUCUUGGACAAUGGGGGCAACCCUGAUCCAGCCAUGCCGCGUGAUCGAUGAAGGCCUUAGGGUUGUAAAGAUCUUUCAGCUGGGAAGAUAAUGACGGUACCAGCAGAAGAAGCCCCGGCUAACUCCGUGCCAGCAGCCGCGGUAAUACGGAGGGGGCUAGCGUUGUUCGGAAUUACUGGGCGUAAAGCGCACGUAGGCGGAUAGUUAAGUCGGGGGUGAAAUCCCGGGGCUCAACCCCGGAACUGCCUUCGAUACUGGCUGUCUAGAGAUCGAGAGAGGUGAGUGGAAUUCCGAGUGUAGAGGUGAAAUUCGUAGAUAUUCGGAGGAACACCAGUGGCGAAGGCGGCUCACUGGCUCGAUACUGACGCUGAGGUGCGAAAGCGUGGGGAGCAAACA